rnacentral:rRNA from 1 species
GUAGGGAAUAUUGGGCAAUGGAGGCAACUCUGACGCAGCCAUGCCGCGUGCAGGAAGAAGGCGCUACGCGUUGUAAACUGCUUUUAACCGGGAAGAAACCCCAGGACGUGUCCUGGGUUGACGGUACCGGAGGAAUAAGCACCGGCUAACUUCGUGCCAGCAGCCGCGGUAAUACGAAGGGUGCAAGCGUUAUCCGGAUUCAUUGGGUUUAAAGGGUGCGUAGGCGGAGCGUUAAGUCAGUGGUGAAAUCCUGCAGCUUAACUGUAGACUUGCCAUUGAUACUGGCGCUCUUGAGUGCGCUUGAAGUGGGCGGAAUGUGCCGUGUAGCGGUGAAAUGCUUAGAUAUGGCACAGAACACCAAUUGCGAAGGCAGCUCACUAAGGCGAUACUGACGCUGAGGCACGAAAGCGUGGGGAUCGAACAGGAUUAGAUACCCUGGUAGUCC